rnacentral:rRNA from 1 species
CCUACGGGAGGCAGCAGUGGGGAAUAUUGGACAAUGGGGGAAACCCUGAUCCAGCGACGCCGCGUGGGUGAAGAAGGCCUGCGGGUUGUAAAGCCCUUUCGGUAGGGACGCUUAACCUACAAAAGAAGCACCGGCUAACUCUGUGCCAGCAGCCGCGGUAAUACAGAGGGUGCGAGCGUUAAUCGGAAUUACUGGGCGUAAAGCGCACGUAGGCGGCUUGGUAUGUCGGGUGUGAAAUCCCCGGGCUCAACCUGGGAACUGCAUCCGAAACUGCCUUGCUCGAGUAUGGGAGAGGGAAGUGGAAUUCCGGUGUAGCGGUGAAAUGCGUAGAUAUCGGAAGGAACAUCAGUGGCGAAGGCGACUUCCUGGACCAUCUGACGCUCAGGUGCGAAAGCGUGGGGAGCAAACAGGAUUAGAUACCCUUGUAGUC